UGUACGAGAAAAUCAAAAUUCUCUAUUUCUCACUUCUUCUUCUUCUAAACCCUUAAACCAAAAAUAAACUAAUCUCCUUAGUUCGUUCUCUUGUCGAACCACAAAGCCGAUCCAUCUUCUCCUUGGAUUCUCGAUGAUCGGGAGAUACGUAACAGGGCGAUCAAAACGGUGCUGAGUUAGUGACGUGGUGGAGAUCGAGGCUUUUGGCUCCUCUUCUUCAGGUUCCUCAUGGCGGUGCUCUUGCUUCUUCUUCUUCUUCUUCCCUUCUAGUGUUGGAAUUCCUCUUUUGCUUAACUAUUACAAAUCCAUUGAUUUGCAGACAAAGUUUCAGACCCUUGAUAGGAGGAGGUAUCGGCUUAAUGAAGAGAAAGCUGAGUGGAUUAUCUAUGUGACAGAUGCUGGCCAGCAGGAGCACUUUGAUAGGUUCUUCAAAGCUGCCAGACAAGUAGGUUGGCUUCCAGAAAAUGAUGGAAACUUCCCCUAGAGUUAGCCACGUUAAAUUUGGUGUAGUCAAGGGAGAAGAUGGCAAGUGGUUUAGAAAUCGUGACAGAGAAAUAGUCCAUCUAGCUGAUUUGCUAGAUGAGGCCAAGACUCGAAGUAAAACUGCCCUUAUUGAGCGAGCUCUAGCUAAAGACAAAGAAUGGACACCCGAGGAGCUGGACCAAACAGCAGAGGCAAUUGGAUAUGGUGCGGUGAAUAUGCUGACAUGAAGAAAAACAUAUCGACUGAUUAUAGAUUUAGCUAUGAUGAAAUGCUUAGUGACACGGGAAAUACAGCCGUUUACCUUCUUUACGCUCAUGCUCGGAUCUGUUCGAUCAUCCAGAAGUCUGGCAAAGACAUAUGUUACCUAAACUGGAAGCCAUCAAUGUUGCUGCAAAAGAGACUGGGGUCUUCAGUGCCUUCGUUAUGAGAUCAGGGAUAUCAUGCCUCCUAAUGGAGUGAGAGUUGCUAUGGAAAUUCAAGCUGAAGCUGUAGAAAGAGAGCCCAGAUUCUAAAUUCUGAAGGAGAACGUAAGCCCAUAUCAACAGAGUUGAUGACUUGAUGAUAAGAAAAGUUCUGUAAUCCUGGAAUCAGAAGCUGCACAGAUGGACCAAGUCAAACGAGCUCAAGCAAAAUUCGGGAACGGCCACUGUCUGAGCCGCCUCAGGAUACUUGAGAUAUGGGAGAUAUCAUAGCCUUGAAGGUUUACAAGAAGAAUUGGGGGAUCUUUUUGCUUGAUAAGAACUUAGAUUCCUCCGCAAACCAAACAUGCGGUGAUACUUGCAAAGUGAAUAGUUGCUCGAAAUAGGAACAGUCGACCCCAUUAUUCGAAUCUGAAGUUCACAGUCGUUUAAUUAGUCUGUGCAACUAUGCGCCCGUUAUGCUGUAUCCGUUUUCAGCUUGGUUAUAUACCAAACUAAAGUUCGAAUCGAAUCUCACAUAUUUUCCGUUUUCAGCUUGGUUAAUGGGCCUUCAGCAGAUGACUCUUCAUGCCAUAAGUGUAAGGUUGGAUUGUUAUCUACCACCAAAAUUUGCUAGUUACUACUAUAUUGGAAUGACAAAUUCAAAUCUCAAUUUUGUGAUAUUGCUCUAACCGGUUACAAGUACUAAAAGACUUUGGUGAUUAGAUUGAAGAAGGACAAUACCAAACUAAAGUUCUCUGCAGCCUCUAAUCCUUGUAACUUGCAAGAUAGAAAGGUGUGAUCAGAUCUAAGUUACAAUUGCAGCUUUAACCACCCAUUAGGAGAAGAACCAAGCAAGAAUCGUUGGCAUAGUAAAAGAUUUUGCAUUUACUAAUAUCAGACUAUCAGUCAUAAGUUUUUCUCUCUUUUACCAA